GGACGCCUGACAUGGCAUUUCCACGAUUAAAUAAUAUUUCAUUCUGGUUGUUGCCUCCAAGUCUCUUGCUCCUAUUAAGCUCAGCCUUAGUAGAAGUGGGUAGCGGCACUGGGUGGACGGUCUAUCCGCCCUUAAGUGGUAUUACCAGCCAUUCUGGAGGAGCAGUUGAUUUAGCAAUUUCUAGUCUUCAUCUAUCUGGUGUUUCAUCCAUUUUAGGUUCUAUAAAUUUUAUAACAACUAUCUUCAACAUGCGUGGACCUGGCCUAUAUCCACAGCUGACGUGACUCCGUACCUUGUACCCAUCUAUUGUUUAUUCACCUUAAUAUUGAUCCAUAAUCUAUCACUGAUAACUUUUAACCUCUUACAUAAUGCACUAUCACUAGGACUCACAUCUCAUCGGGGAACACCUGAAGUGAUUUUUCAUGAUCAACCUAGGGAUAAUACUAUGUUUCAAUAACCAUAUCUCAUUGUAUCCCAACGCAAUUCAUCUUAUGGGGGUAAUCUAAUCCCAUGCAAUUAAUGAAAUCCCUUUCUCGUUAAAUCAUUACUCAAUCGAAGGCCUAAGCGUCAUCCUCUUAUCUAUCACAAUUUCACCCUUAUUCUACCGCUAGGACAACAUUUCAUUUCUUCUAAAUGCACCUAGUCAUAGACUCCUCUGAGUUCAUUCAGGUUGUAUCGGGCUUUCAAUUACUUACGGAUGCCAUCAACUCUCUUGUUUUGAUGGGUUUAAUCUCGAGGACGUACAUAUUCUCGUCACCUUCUCACUCAUAUUUUCAUAUCCUUACUCCUACCUACAUAAAACCUUUUUUCUCUACAAUACUUUACAUUACGACCUAUACCUAUCUAUUUAUACUACUCGUAACCUUCCUUUAACUUGCUAGUACCAUAAUUUUCCAUUCAUGCCUUCUCAGUUUUCCUUAAAUGUAAGCAAUUACUUUUCAUGGUCGUUCUAUCACUUGUUGCACGAAUACUUUCAUAAAUUUCCUUGCAUGCCUUCUCGGUUGUCCUUAAAGUAAGCAAUUACUUUUCCUGGCCGUUCUAUCACUUGUUGCACGAAUACUUGGAUUGUCUUAUUGUCCACGAAUACUAUAAUUUCCUGUACCUCAUAUGAUCUCAAACAUCACCUUUUCUUUUUUUCCCAUUUAUUAGCCACUAUAUGCGCCUCUUUCUUAUGGAGUGCAUCCAAUGUUGUAGUGAAGCUAUUUUUACCAAACCAAUUUUUCUUCAAGUUAAUAUUCUUAGAUUGAAGCCCUCUUCCUUAUUUCCUAAGCUAGUCUUCCGUGGUACUACUUAGGGGAGAUCCUCUUACUCCUGUAAAACUAGAAGCUUAUUACACCAUAUACUCGAAGAAAUUAUUGAUAUUGUCAGUAACCUAUAAUUAUCCUUAGUUACUUACCUCUGUGCACUUGUGCUUGCAGGGAAUCUCAAACAUCACCUUUGAUGACUUUUUUUUUCUUUCCAUUCAUUAGCCAUGAUAGGUGCCACUUUCUUAUGGAGUGUAUGCAAUAUUGUAGUGAGACUGUUGUUACGAGAUCAUUUACUCUUUAGCUCACUAUGUUUAGGUGGAAACCUUCUUCCUUAUUUCCUCAGCUAGUCUUUCGUUGUAGUACUUAGGGAGACCUUCUGGCUCUCAUAAAGUUGUGAGCUUGUUAUAUCGUACAUCCAAAGGAAAUUUUCGUUAUUCUUACCCAUCUAUAAAAACCCUUAUUUACAUAACUUUGUGCCUUUGUGCUUGUAAGGUUACUUAUAAGCUCAAAUUUUUAGUGUCUCCUUAGUGGCACUCUCUCUUAUUUUCAUAAUGCUUAAAAACAGUACCUUAACUACCUCAAAUCCUAUGUGAAGUUUUUCUUCAAAUGAUCGUGAUCUCGUAUCUGCGAGAAUAAAUUCACUAUGUUGCGGUUCACUAUAUUUAUCUUGCAUAAUCUAUUGAUUUAUUAGUGACCUCUUGUCUAGCCAUAACUGAUACCUUUAAAUACCUCAAAUCCUAUCUAAAUUUUUUUUUAGAUGAUUGUGAUCUCGUAUCUGCAAGACUGAAUUCACUAUAUUGCGGUUUACUACAUUUAUUUUGCAUGAUCUAUUGAUUUAUUUGUGACCUCUUGUCUAGCCAUAACUGGGCUCUUCUUGAACCAAUUUAUCAAUAACAUCCUGGCCGAAAACUGUUACUGCCUCUCCCUGCAGUCGUGCUUGUAUAAUGUUCUGAAGUGGCAACAUAUCUAUAGGAACUGAAUAAUGCAACAUCAUCCCUCUCUCCUUUUUACCACAUUCUUCCUUUACCAUUCCAUAGUUAGCUGAACCGCUUAACUCCGACUUAAUACCAUAUCACACCAUAUUCCCCCCUUUAGGGGAGUACUAAGAUUUUGUACUACGACGAUAUACCUAUAGUUGUUUUACCUCUUCAUCUUUGCGUCUUUUCACAUUAUCAAUGAACGUUAAUCACCUUAUGCUUAACUCUGACUUAGUACCAUAUUCCCCCCUUUAGGGGAGUACUAAGACUUUGUACUACGACGAUCUACCUAUAGUUGUUUUACCUCUUCAUCUUUCACAUCUUUUCACAUUCUCAAUCAACUUUAAUCGCCUUAUGGUAACCUUGUGUACCAGGAAUAACUAAAUUUCUUACGCAUGAAGGUGACACCUACUGCAUCUAGCACACUUAUUCCCUUAAGGUUAACUCUGCUCAGAGUGCUUGCUUUAGGUAAGCAACUUCGUAAAUGGACUUUAAAGGUUAUUAGUUUGUUACCUAUUCUAUUAUUAUUGGAGCACGAUCUUUGAAAGUCUCACGAUGUCGACCAUUACCAAAUCCUCCAGUGCCUAAUUCAUGUUCGUUUUUAUCUUGUGCACCAUCCCAUACUAAUUUUUGUUACUCUGGGGUCUAACCUUUCCUCUAGGUAUAUUCUAUUAUUGCCUCAAGGCUUGUCACCUCUUGUAUUUUCCUUCAGUUGACUAUAAACUCUGUCACCGUGUCAUAUUUUGAUUUACUGUUAUCACCCAUAUAUCACAUCUUACUCAUGAUGCUUCAUUUACUUUCUUCUUAUUCUUCGACUAAUACUUCUAUUUAUCACUUUAUUUUGAAAACUUCAAGAAAAUGUCCUUUCAAUUUUAGCUCCUUUUGAUUCAUCUCAUUGGCUCUCCGAGAUGCCUAAAAUUCUCUUUCUCUCUCUCUCUCUCUCUAGGGCGGGAGUCAUACUAAGGUAAAUAUUUUAUCCCUUUUAGGAUUACGCUUCCUAUAUUCUGAAAUUGCUGAAUAUUCUAGUAUUCCUAUCUGAUUGCACUAUUCUAGAGAUCACCAUCUAGGUGCCUUACAAGGAGAUCUAUUACUACCUUUGCAGUACCCUUCGAAAAUGUUAGCUAAUGAUAACAAUCAAUCCACAAAUUGUUGUCACUCUAACCCCAGCUUGAUCCUGAUAUUACAUCUUUUUCUUAAACUAUAUUUGUCAGUUCCCAUAGGAAAUAAUUAAGGCGGGUGUGGUCAAUUGUAUAAAAACUUUGUUACUGUUGAAAGUAACUCAGAAUGCUUAUAUAUUUCUCUACCUGAAUUGCAAAUACUGAUAAUCUUCAUUGUCUAGGUACUUCGUACUUGUAUAAAACUUUGUUACUAUUGAAAGUAACUCAGAAUGCUUAUAUAUAUCUCUACCGGAAUUGCAAAUACUGAUAAUCUUCAUUGUCUAGGUACUUCGUACUCUUCUUCUUCUUUUCUCAUGUUAUUUCUUUCACUUGUUGAAACUUAUAUCCACCUCCUAAUUCUCUCGUUGCUCUUUACCAUAUGGGUGGAUAGAUACUCAUGCCUUGGGGCUCCGUAUCAAGAGGCGCACAUAUCUUAAUAUAUACAUGAUUUGCUGAAGACCUAACAUUUACGCAUCAUAAGCAUGAUACAAAAUAGAGUUCCUCUGAUAAACUCUUCCACGUCCUUAUUCAAUCUCUUACCAACUGUCUUUCUAGAUAUAGGCAUCAUUGUGUCUUAAAUAAGAUAGCGUUUAGGAAAUUGAGUUCUUAUAACUGAGCUCUACCACACGAUCUAGAGUAAGAAGAAAGAGUNNNNNNNNNNNNNNNNNNNNNNNNNNNNNNNNNNNNNNNNNNNNNNNNNNNNNNNNNNNNNNNNNNNNNNNNNNNNNNNNNNNNNNNNNNNNNNNNAGUCCUAAAUGCCAUGUAGCCUCCUGCUUAUAAGUGUGGUGCACUACACACCCAUAAACAAGACUCUACUAGACACGGCUUAUAGACUCCCUAGGACAGAACUGCUCCGAUACCACUUUUUUCACGACCCAAAUCGAAGUGCCGCGAUGGACACCCGGUGCCUUACUCAAUCGAGUACCAACUUAACAUAUCUUUCUUAUCAUAGUAUAAUGGGUAAGUGAGCCAGAAAACCCAUCAUGAGAUAAUAAGAAUAAAACUUAAGGGAAUGCUUAACAUAUGACGACCCAACAUGAUAUGCAAACUUAUACAUGUGAUAUAUGGGCCUACAAGGCCGACAUGACCAUUUGUAAACUCAAAACGUAGGCCAACAAGGCCAUAAAUGUAUCCAUACACCUGAUAUCUGUCUACAAGCCUCUAAGAGUACAUAAAAUUAUAAAUGUCGGGACAGGGCCCCUCCAUACCAAUCAAUACAUAUUAAAAGCAUAUUAACCAAAUAGGCAAUUCCGGAGCAAGUGGAGUCCUGACAUUUGUCUACAAGCCUCUAAGAGUACAUAAAAUAAUAAAGGUCGGGACAGGGCCCCGUCAUAUCAAUCAAUACAUAUCAAGAGCAUAUUGAUCAAAUAGGCAACUCCGGAGCAAGUGGAGUGCACCAACACCUUUCGCUGAGCUGAUAGCCUACAUUGAGAAAUGCCAACCUGUUUAUCGGGACCUGUGGGCAUGAAAUGCAACAUCCCCAAGCAAAAGGGACGUUAGUGGAAUAAAGUACUGAGUAUAUAAGGCAAGAAAGCAUAAACAAGAGCAGUAAUGUAAAGAGAGAUAGUUGAGGUACAACCUGUAACAUCUGAGUGCCUCUGGGGGCUACUGAUAUGAAAUGCAUAAUACAUGUAUAUACAUAAACUUUUAAUACCUUUACCUCUGUGGGCAUCAUCAUCAUCACAUCUUACCCGACCUCAGAGGACUCGGUAAAAAUGUACCCGGCCAUCAUAAGGCUCGAUACAAUUAUACCCAGCCACGUGGAGCUCGGUAAAACCCAACUGAUCAGUGGUUGAACAGUAGGUGCCGUAUCUGGCCGACUAUAGUGCGGCUUGGUAGAGUAAAAUAGAAACAUUAAUAUAAUGCAUGCUCGACUCAUGGAAUCACCUUCUAAACCUUUUGGAGUGUCCGGUAGAGAAAAAUAGAUACAUAUAUAAUGCAUGCUCGACUCAUGGAAUCACGUUCUAAACCUUUUGGAGUGUCUUAAGAACCUUAUGGACAUCUAUUCCCUCAAUAUGAACCUUAGUAAGAUUCAAGGACCAUACACAUUUGCUUAGAAUAAUUUGAUAUGGAAAGAACAACAUGGACAACCUUAUUUGCUAGGAGUAGUUCCGGUAAGAAGUAGCAUACUCAUUUCUAUCUUGCCAAAAGAAAGAAGAAAUGCCUUAACAUACCUUAAACAUGUUGAGUCCUUAAUUCCUUCCAAGUGACUCUUCAAACAAGAAAACUCGAUCUAUCAUAGCAUAAGGAGAUUCAAAAUUAGUGUUGAGCAAAAGCCAAGUCUAUAACUUAAGCUAGUAGCUCGUUUUACUUAAAUUUAAGCAGCAUCUCCUUUGUAACGAGGGCCUCCACCAAUACCAUAUACCAACAACAACAACCAGAGAAAUCCAUCAACAUAUAAAUGUUAAUAGCAAGACACCACAUAAUAAUAAUAAGUCACAACUACUUCAAGACGAGGCGGCAAGCUCCAAUUGGAAUCUGUAUAACCCAUCUUCCACUUAUAUACUUCUUACAUUAGGUUACAAGUAUCAUUAACAUGAUAAUGAAGUCAUUCAUCAAUGAUUCCAUCCUUAUACCAUAUAUUUAUAAUAAAGGAAAUAACCCACAACUCUAACUACCUUCGAUUAGUAACUUUAUUCACUAGUUCAUAACUACUCCAUCCAUUUAACUUAAUUAACGUCAAUAUAACCUUAUGAACAUGCAAGAACACAAUAUAAAUACCUCCUAAAGUAACUUCAAGUCAAAAUAGAAGUUAUAUUUAGCUUACAAGAACCCUCAAUGGCAAUAUAACACCAUAGAAGUGACUUAAGCUAAUCCAAGUGUUAUCAUGUAGUUUAUCAUCCAAACAGCUUAACCAACAUACAAGCAAGAUUAAGAACAAUUAGUAGGCUGUUAUGCUCACCUUAUACAGCAGCAAAAACUUGGAAUUUUAUCCAAAUACAGCUCACAACAAUCCUCAAUGACAACACAACCUCAAAGAGGUGUUGUUCUCAACUAGGACUAGGUUUUAGUGUUGAUAAGUAGUGUAAUCCAUUUGAAAGACAUGAAAUAAUCUAGGGUUGAUAUAACAACCAUGAGUAACGAAUAUAAAAUACUUAAAAUAACCUCCCAUACGAGCUGAAACCACCCAAAAAUCAGCAACAACAUGAAGAACAAGAAACUUACUAGCCCCACGGGAUUCCUGACACUUGAUUUGGGUUGUUUGCCCUUUGUUUGGGUCUUGGAUCAUGAGAGAACUUUGAGAGAGUGUUUAUAAGGUUCUAAUUUCUGAAUAUACUGAAAAUAAUGACUUGAAACGGGGUUAGGAAUCUUAUAUAUAUCCAUAUGUCUUAAACCGCAGAGCUGCUUGGCGCAGUCUUGCGAAACCGCGAAUAUCUCUCUACUCCAAUGUCGUAUGGAUGAACGGUUUAAUGCGCUGGAAACUAGACUCGUAUAUAUUCAAUUUGGUAUAUAUAUAAUUCCUUUAUUCUGAGUAUAUUUGGAGAAAAGUGCAUCUACAUUUAACCAAAAGUUUAGUAAAAUUAAUGAAUGUAACUUGUGAUGACCUUUGCCAACUCUUGUUCCACAGCUUUCUUGCCUUCAAAAUGUAGAAAAUCGAUAUCAUAUGACUACAAUAACUCAUACAAUAACUUCCUUAUUAUGUAAAGAACCCUAGUCUCACCCCAAGGUACAUGUUAUAACAUUCCAAAUUUGUCGACUUUCAAGAAAACUUAUUUUCUUCUGUUCGUUUAGCGCCUAAGAUUUCCAACCCAUUUGGUACUUGUUAUUCAUCAUUGUAAAGACUUGUAACCUCCAAUAUAACAAGAUGAAACUUACAUUAUGUACUUUCAUUAUGAUCUCAUUUAUGAGCUUAUAUUAAUUGGCUUACGACGUACUCUCACGUACGAAAACAUGGAAUGUAACAUGAGGUCCACCAAAAUGUGGGUAGGGACCAUAAAAUUUACAAUAAGCAUCACUCAAACAGGAUUAUUCCAAGAAUCUAUAUAAAAAAUUAUAAUACUAAAAAAUAAGAAAAUUAAAAACUUGAACAAAAGUCAAUUAAAGCUUAACUUAGAUAAACAAUCAAUAAUUAAGUCCCUGUUAAUGGCGCCAAAAACUUGUUGGUUCCCCAAGUACGUGCAAGUAUAUGUGGUCGUCAAAUAAUAAAAUGACUCAAAAGUCAGAUGUUGAACCCACAAACACUUAGAUUAAUUGUUACUCAAUCUAACUAAAAUCAAUGAACUGUCCAAGAUAAUAAAAAAUGUUAGUUUUUUUACUAAACUACUUUUGUA
rnacentral:lncRNA from 1 species